UACGUAGGUCGCAAGCGUUGUCCGGAUUUACUGGGCGUAAAGAGCGCGCAGGCGGCUGGUCAAGUCCGAUGUGAAGUCUCCCGGCUCAACUGGGAAACUGCAUCGGAAACUGAUCGGCUUGAAGAUGGGAGAGGGUAGUGGAAUUCCCGGUGUAGUGGUGAAAUGCGUAGAUAUCGGAAGGAACAUCAGUGGCGAAGGCGACUUCCUGGACCAAUACUGACGCUCAGGUGCGAAAGCGUGGGGAGCAAACAGG
rnacentral:rRNA from 1 species